AUGUUGACGCUGCCGGCGGAGGAGGUGAAGACUAUGCGUUUCACGGUGCCAGCCUCCUUGCAGGCCCUCAUGAUGCUCAGCAUCCCUUCCACCGUCGGCUUGAUCACCUCGUUCUGCAUUCAGUUUUGCAUCCGUAUUAGUACUAUAUAUGUGUUCAUUCAUUCUACGUACUUUCCUCGGGGUUUUUCAUUCAGUGGACCCGCAUAUAAUAUUUACUUCGGGGUCUUGGGAGUCGAAGUCCAUGGGCGUGGCGACGUGGAAGACGCCGGUGCAGCCGGCGAUGGCGUCGUCGAAGCUGCCUUCCUCGCUCAGGUCGGCCUUCCAGAUGGACAGCCGCUCCUUGGCUCCGGGAAGCUCCAGCAAUGGCUUGUUCUUCUCAACGUUGGCUGA
rnacentral:rRNA from 1 species